GCUAGCUGGUGUUCACAUCCGAGACCUUCCUGGCUUCCUGGGCUCAGCUUAACUCUUUCACCAGGUGCUACACCAUCCCAAUGUCCAGACCCCAUCAUGGUUCUGCAGCUGGAGAACUAGAGGCUGCAAGAAUGUAACAACGUCCCCAGAGUUGCUGUGACCUUGUCCCUCCAUCUACCGGACAAUGAAGUACAGUGGUCCAGGCUAGCCCACCUUCCUGGGCUGUCUCAUGGGGACUUGGAUGAGGCACCCAGAUCCCAGCAAUCAAGAUAACGUUCAAGGACUUUGGGAAUAGAGACAAAAGCAUUAAGAAGUUCAAGGAUAGCCUUGGCUACAUGUUUAACCGGGGCUACUUGGGACUCUGCCUCAAACAAAACAACAAAACAAAACAAAAAAUAAAAAACCAGAUAAGAAUAAAAAUUG
ensembl:antisense Gm11551 predicted gene 11551